rnacentral:lncRNA from 1 species
CUCCAUAAUGUCUAGCAUUUUAUUGCUAUCUUGGUUGUUUUCUUCAUUUUAUCUAGUCAAAAAUUGUAAAUUGUAUGCAUCUAAACUAAGUUUUACGCUAUUUUAGGAUCGACUUAUUUCUUAAUGAGUGAUUCUUAACAAGACAAGGUUGCCCGAGAAGUACAGAAGAAGAUUCAUGCAUCGGUUAUCAAAAUUUAGGAUACAAUAUCUACGUAUCUUCAAGAUUUUGAUUUCAAGCGCAGUCUUUUGUCUAUCGUCACUAAUUAUGAAAAAUAAAAGAAGAAAUAUCUUUUAAUUUUGAUUUCAAGUGUAGCCUUUUGUCUAUUAUCACUAAUUGUGAAAAACAUUUUGAGACGCUUAUUCCUCUCCUUAUAAAUGGAGAUCCUCUUGAAGUCAUUCUUUACUAUAACACUUAUGAAUUCAAAUUGAGAAAGAACUAUAUAUUUUAGGCUUAAUAGUCAAUUUUGUCCCCAGUUUCGUUGACAAAUCUUAAUUUAGUCGCUC